rnacentral:tRNA from 1 species
GCUGCGAUGGCCGAGUGGUUAAGGCGUUUGACUAGAAAUCAAAUGGGAUGUAGGUUCGAAUCCUACUCGCAGCG